rnacentral:lncRNA from 1 species
CCAACUAAAAGGUUCACCACAACAGCCACCCCAGAGAACCGGGAUCAUACAAUGGAAAAUCUCAUCAGGAUGGGGAUGGCUGUCCUGGUCCUCAUAGUCCUUUCAAUUCUAGCUGCUGAGGCCUGGCAGAGCCAAAGACAGUCCCACCAUGCAGCUGGCAAAUAAUAUAAAGAGAAAGACAUACAUCUUUCAAUGAUGUACACUCUUGGAAAUGAAUCUGAUGAUCCAAAA